CGAAUGAAAAGACAUUUAAUUUGGAGAUUGGCUGGAUUUGAAUCUCAUAUAUGGAAUGGCCUUGAUAAAAUUAAUAAAUCUGCAUUCAUCUGGAUUGACGAUAACAAACCACUAAAAAAUAUUUCGGACUAUUUUUCUUUUAAAGAACUUUCAGUAUCACCAGACCUAGGAGAACUACCUGAUUGCACUACAAUUGAUUUGGCGCUUAACGACUUAAAACUUCACUUUAUGGAAUGUUUUAUAAAAUAUUUUUACUUUUGUGAAAUACGCUAAAAUUAAAAGUAUUUUUUUCUGUUAAAACUUUUAAAAAUUUAAAAUACACUUCUCCUAACCUAAAACUGGUAAUGAAAUGUGCUAAUUUCGAUAGUCAUGUUUUUUUUUCAAUUUCAAAUUUGAUGACUAAAAAUAUAUUUAUUAACCAAUGCAGAAAUUUUAUCUUUCAGCAUGUAAUUUUGAUCUAAGCUAUUUGUCGGCUGGAAUUCUUAGUUAUGUGAUACACUUUAGAUUAAACCAUGUGGCACUAACUAUUCAAUAGUAACUAUUGCUAUCACAUUGUUGUUUUUUUUUUUGGUUGCCCAUUUCUGCUUAUAACAAGCAUCAAUAAAGCAAGGUCCAAGA
rnacentral:sRNA from 1 species